GACGAACGCUGGCGGCGUGCUUAACACAUGCAAGUCGAACGGAAAGGCCCUGCUUUUGUGGGGUGCUCGAGUGGCGAACGGGUGAGUAACACGUGAGUAACCUGCCCUUGACUUUGGGAUAACUUCAGGAAACUGGGGCUAAUACCGGAUAGGAGCUCCUGCUGCAUGGUGGGGGUUGGAAAGUUUCGGCGGUUGGGGAUGGACUCGCGGCUUAUCAGCUUGUUGGUGGGGUAGUGGCUUACCAAGGCUUUGACGGGUAGCCGGCCUGAGAGGGUGACCGGCCACAUUGGGACUGAGAUACGGCCCAGACUCCUACGGGAGGCAGCAGUGGGGAAUAUUGCACAAUGGGCGGAAGCCUGAUGCAGCAACGCCGCGUGCGGGAUGACGGCCUUCGGGUUGUAAACCGCUUUCGCCUGUGACGAAGCGUGAGUGACGGUAAUGGGUAAAGAAGCACCGGCUAACUACGUGCCAGCAGCCGCGGUGAUACGUAGGGUGCGAGCGUUGUCCGGAUUUAUUGGGCGUAAAGGGCUCGUAGGUGGUUGAUCGCGUCGGAAGUGUAAUCUUGGGGCUUAACCCUGAGCGUGCUUUCGAUACGGGUUGACUUGAGGAAGGUAGGGGAGAAUGGAAUUCCUGGUGGAGCGGUGGAAUGCGCAGAUAUCAGGAGGAACACCAGUGGCGAAGGCGGUUCUCUGGGCCUUUCCUGGCGCUGAGGAGCGAAAGCGUGGGGAGCGAACAGGCUUAGAUACCCUGGUAGUCCACGCUGUAAACGGUGGGUACUAGGUGUGGGGUCCACUCCACGGGUUCCGUGCCGUAGCUAACGCUUUAAGUACCCCGCCUGGGGAGUACGGCCGCAAGGCUAAAACUCAAAGGAAUUGACGGGGCCCCGCACAAGCGGCGGAGCAUGCGGAUUAAUUCGAUGCAACGCGUAGAACCUUACCUGGGUUUGACAUGGAUCGGGAGUGCUCAGAGAUGGGUGUGCCUCUUUUGGGGUCGGUUCACAGGUGGUGCAUGGCUGUCGUCAGCUCGUGUCGUGAGAUGUUGGGUUAAGUCCCGCAACGAGCGCAACCCUUGUUCACUGUUGCCAGCACGUUAUGGUGGGGACUCAGUGGAGACCGCCGGGGUCAACUCGGAGGAAGGUGGGGAUGACGUCAAGUCAUCAUGCCCCUUAUGUCCAGGGCUUCACGCAUGCUACAAUGGCUGGUACAGAGAGUGGCGAGCCUGUGAGGGUGAGCGAAUCUCGGAAAGCCGGUCUCAGUUCGGAUUGGGGUCUGCAACUCGACCUCAUGAAGUCGGAGUCGCUAGUAAUCGCAGAUCAGCAACGCUGCGGUGAAUACGUUCCCGGG
rnacentral:rRNA from 1 species